GAUGAACGCUGGCGGCGUGCCUAAUACAUGCAAGUCGAGCGAACAGACGAGGAGCUUGCUCCUCUGACGUUAGCGGCGGACGGGUGAGUAACACGUGGAUAACCUACCUAUAAGACUGGGAUAACUUCGGGAAACCGGAGCUAAUACCGGAUAAUAUAUUGAACCGCAUGGUUCAAUAGUGAAAGACGGUUUUGCUGUCACUUAUAGAUGGAUCCGCGCCGCAUUAGCUAGUUGGUAAGGUAACGGCUUAUCAAGGCAACGAUGCGUAGCCGACCUGAGAGGGUGAUAGGCGGCACUGGAACUUAGACACGGUCCAGACUCCUGCGGGACGCAGCAGUAGGGAAUCGUACGCAGUGGGCGAGAGCCUGACGGAGCAACGCCGCGUGAGUGAUGAAGGUCUUCGGAUCGUAAAACUCUGUUAUUAGGGAAGAACAAAUGUGUAAGUAACUAUGCACGUCUUGACGGUACCUAAUCAGAAAGCCACGGCUAACUACGUG
rnacentral:rRNA from 1 species